GAUGAACGCUGGCGGCGUGCCUAAUACAUGCAAGUCGAGCGAACAGAUAAGGAGCUUGCUCCUUUGACGUUAGCGGCGGACGGGUGAGUAACACGUGGAUAACCUACCUAUAAGACUGGGAUAACUUCGGGAAACCGGAGCUAAUACCGGAUAACAUAUUGAACCGCAUGGUUCAAUAGUGAAAGGCGGCUUUGCUGUCACUUAUAGAUGGAUCCGCGCCGUAUUAGCUAGUUGGUAAGGUAACGGCUUACCAAGGCAACGAUACGUAGCCGACCUGAGAGGGUGAUCGGACACACUGGAACUGAGACACGGUCCAGACUCCUACGGGAGGCAGCAGUAGGGAAUCUUCCGCAAUGGGCGAAAGCCUGACGGAGCAACGCCGCGUGAGUGAUGAAGGUCUUCGGAUCGUAAAACUCUGUUAUCAGGGAAGAACAAAUGUGUAAGUAACUGUGCACAUCUUGACGGUACCUGAUCAGAAAGCCACGGCUAACUACGUG
rnacentral:rRNA from 1 species